AGGAAAGGGGUGAGAACUUCAAACGUGUGCAAGCAGACGCUAGCGACAUAGCAGUGCCAGCAGUUCUACUCCAGAAAAAUGAUAAUGGAAAUCUGCAACCCUGUGCAUACACGUCCAAAAAACUCACAGACACUGAAAGAAGGUGGGCUGUAUGGGAAAAAGAAGCUUAUGCAGUUCGUUGGGCUUUAGAAACUUGGAGACAAUUUUUAGAGGGCAGUGACAUUCCGUUCAAAGUGUGGACAGACC